rnacentral:lncRNA from 1 species
UAUACAUUGAAAUUAUUUUCAUUUGGAAACUAGGUUCAUAAGAUCUAAUUUCAGAUGAAAACCUUGAUAAGUGCAGCCACUCUUUGUCCAUUAUAGGCGGUCGAAACCAAAUUGAUUGAUGAUGUGCAGUAACAGACGUCACUUCUAGUUAUGAAAAAUCUCAAACUAAAUGAUCAAUUAUGCUCGAUGUAAUUGGAAAAAUUAAUUUCCAAAUGCAAAUUAUAGGCCUUAGAAAAAUAUUGCUAUUACUUUAUAAUAAUCAUGACUAAAUAGGAUUUUAUUUUCAGAUUGGCACUAAUCAAAGCUACCAGGCAACCUCUAAAUCAAUGCAACACUUAAUUAACUUGAAGAAUAUGAUCAAAGUUCGAAAAUGUAAUUCACCCUUGAUUCUAAGAUGAUCAAUAAUGGAAAAUGUAGGCUGCCUCCACUGUUGUUUUCAAAAUGAACAAAAACAACAGUUAAUUAACUUGAAGACUGCCCUUCUAACACUUAAUUAACUUGAAGAAUUUACGGCAAAGCUCAAAUUGAAGACUG